GGGGCUGCAGCGUGCCUCGUCCCCACCCUGGGACCCCUCAUCCUCCAAGUCCCCGCUGCCUCGUGGAAAGCCGGGCGGCGGCCUGAGCCGGGAACUCGAGGGGGUGGAAGGCAAGGAAAAGAAAAGAGCCGCUCAUGAGGCACCCGGGAGUCUGAGCCUCCCGCGCCGGGAUCCGCUGGGCGCACAGAGCGCCACCUCCGGCCGCGGCGCCGCACAGAGCGAUGCGGGGGAGAGACGCGAGGGAGGCCGAGGCCUGAACUGGGCCGGACGGCUUCCCCGCCACCAAAGGGCGAUGCGCCGGGCUGGAUAGAUUCCGCCUGCCUAGACCUGGCGGGAUCGCACCCCGGCGGCGGGUCCCUCGAGGGGGCGGACGAGCCCCGGCAUCAGGGCUCGAGGGGUGACGGGCCAAGCGACCCCAAACCUAGACGGCGAGGCCGUUAGAGGCUAGGAGACUGCCGAGCGGUGGGUGGCCGACGGAGAAUUCCGCCCGCCCCAGCCCUCCACCCCCACGCCCCCAUCCUGUGGAUUAGGCCCUUGCCCGCCGCGGCCGCCCUCCCGCCAAAGGCAGUAAAGGCGCAGCCCCGCAGGCGGUCUUUCAUCCUCGGCUCGGCCGGCUCUGGCAUUUCAAAGGCGGAGUCCAGUGGGCGCUUGGGGGGCGCUCGCCUUCCUCCAAAUUCCUGGGGGGAGGGGUGGGCCCCUCCUGCGAUUCCCAGUGGGCCGGGGCUACCAGCGCUCUUCCACUGGCCUCCACACACCUGCAGCCCCCCCAACGCACCUGCCUCGUCUACCGACCGUAGCCCCACCUGCGACCUCCCCCGUCAAGCGCGCUUUCAGGGGUCAGGAUGAAGGAUGACCGAGGCAGAACUAGGGAAACCUUGGAACCGUUUAAAAGCACGUUAGAGCCAGCCCCUGUCCAACCAGGUGGACCUCCACGGCUUCCGAGGGAGACCACUGGACGGUUUCUGGAAGGCCGCCAAAAGCACACUGCCAGGACAGGCUGCACCCCGAGCAGAGCCCUCCGUGGCUUACUCAUCCUGAUUGUUGACUGCAUCACGUCUGGCUGAGCCUCGGAUUCCUCGCAGGCAGAGGGGACCCGAGGACACUUCUUUGGGGUGAAAGGACUCGGUUUGAUAGUGGGUGUGGGAAUGAAAGAGGAAAGGUCACCUUGUAUUGCAGGGGGGGCGGGGGCAGGGGCCCUUCCGGCUCUAACCUCUGUACAGAGGCUCGCUGGUUCCUGGGUGUCCCGCCACCUUUGAGCAAACCUCGAUGGGUGAUUCCCUCUGUGCCCCAUCCCGGCCUGGCAAUUCAGGGGCUCUCAGUUCGAGUUUGGGGCGGAGGAGAGGAGAUCUGGGAACGCGGAAAGGGGGGCCGCCUUCUCCGGGAGCUCCAGCCAAAGCUAGGCGGGGAGAGGGGCAGGCCUGGGUGCAUCCACCACCGGGACUGGAGAUCUGCGGGGGGGGGGCGGCGCCGGCAUCCUUCUAAUCGCUGGCCGCUAUUAAAAAUAAAACCGCGGCGCGUUGUCAUAGCGACCACGACAACAGCGGCUGCGCGAGGGUGGCACAAACUUGUGCAGCCGCGCGACAGCCGCUUUGGGGGGAGACUCGGGGCACGACGCGCGUUGGCGCACCAAGGCCUGCCCUGGGGUGGGACAGGGACCCCCAACCCAGCCCGCCCCACCCUCCCCCCGGAUCCUCGGAAGAAACUGGCAGAAAUAGAUCCCUAGAAGCUGUUUCCUAGACCUUGGACUGUCUUGACCAAGAGGUCACCAACUUGGAUGAGAACCCACGCACGCGUGGACUCCGGGCCCUGGCACCUCUCCCCGACACCCCUCCCCGUUUCACACUCUGGCGUCCUCAUCUCUGGAGAAGGGGGCUAAGUGGGAAGGCGGUGUCGGAUGCUCGGCGGGAGAGGGGGCCUCACUCCGGAGGCCGGGCGCGUGGGGGCUCCAGCACCUGCCCCUGUCGGCGAUCCUUGCAGCUCAGGCGUGGUCACAUGCUCCUUUCUGUCCGGGAAUCGAGUUUCACUUCCAGCCGCUAUUAGGCGGUUCACACGGUUCACUGCAAACAUUUGAUAAAGAGGCUAAAUAUACAUCGGAGUCGGAGGAGGCGUGGGCGGCGGUGCUGAGCGCGUGGGCGCGGCGCUCCGGGCUCCGCGGGGCAUCCCCGCCCAGGGCGGGAGGCCGGCUCGGACCCCCGACCAGUUCCCCGCCCCGCGUGCCCACCCCCCCCCCCGCCGCCACACACACACACACACAAAUCGGACCCCAGACCCGGACACGUGACCCGGGCAGGCAGCGGGCGCCCCCAGGCCAGCCAGAGGGCCCCUGGCGGAAGAAGGGGGCGCUGCGGGGAGCUCCGCGGGUGGCGGGGGGAGGGGCUGGUGGGCGGUGAAGGCGCACCUGGCUGCCCGGGAUGUCCGGUCGCCCCCGGAGCCGGUGCUUCCGGGCUAUCUCGGGCGUCCCCGGCGCGCCCCGACGUGCCGCGGACCUGUAAUUAAGUGGGAGUCAUGACUAAUAUCUACUGGGCACCGCGGUCCCUGAGUGACCCCUAGGAGUGGAGAGCUGCCCCACCUCCCAUUGGACAGAUACCAGGAAGUCAGGCGUUUGCCCACAGCGGCAGAACGCUGUCCCAGGCGGUCGCUCCUGGGCCGUGGCUGCUCUGGACGAGCUCUCCCAGCGCUCCCGAGGGGACCCUCAGGCCGGCUUGUCCUGCACCUCUCAGACAGGCGUGAAGGACGAUGUGGCCAGCUGGCAGUGAAGGCGCCGGGACUGGAGCCCACGUCCACCUGCUCCCCAGGCCCAAGGUGCUCGAGCUGCCCUCUGCCCCUUGACCUUGGCCUUGUUGGGGUGGUUUGUCCCUGCACUGCCUUGAGUCUGUUCUCUCAUCUGAAAAGUGGGGGCCGAUAACUUCACCAUGCAUGGCUGCCCCCCGCCAUUGAGCCUCCUGCCCAGGAAGGCAGCAGCCUUGCGCACACCUGCAGGGCCUGGUGCCCUGAGGCAAGGGCACAGCCGCCCAGCUGCCUUCAUCUGGGUGGUGCAGGUGGGGGCCAGCUGGGCAUCCAGACCCAGGCCUCUGCCUGGUGCUAGAGCAGAUUUCAGGACAACUCGCGAUGACGCAACAGCACGUUUCCCUUUAUCUCUGGGAAGGAUUUCUUGGUUCAGGGCAAUUAACCCAGGAGCAGCCUCCGCUGAGUGGGCACCUCUCCUUGAAGAUCGAAAGUGCCGGGCGGGUGUUAACUAAGUCGUCAUCUCAGGCCGCCCCAGGCCCCGGCUCAGGAUCAGGCCUUUCCAGUCCAGCCUCCCCAGAAAGGGAGAUGAGCCAGCCAGCAGCCCAGGAGGGCAUUCUCAAUGUUGAUUUUAAAUCUCCAUUAAAUAUUUUUAUUUUCCUUUUUAAAUACACAAACAGCAAUGAAGUUUUAAAUAGCAUACGAGCCCACAAUCUUUUUGUGGCUAUUUUGUGAAUGAAGACCUACGGGAAGGGGCACUGGGGGGGGCUUCAGGAAGCGAGGCCAGAUCUGGACUGUCCAGGACAGGAGCCACUAGCCACGCAAGGCCAUUGGGCAUUUGAAACAUGGCCGGUCUGAGUUGUGAUGUGCUGUUGUUCGUGUAAAACACACGCAGCCUCCAGGACUUGGUAUGAAAGUGAAGAGUGUAAAAUUUCUCGUUAAUGAUUUUUCCAUUAAUUACCUGUUGAAAUGAUAAGAUUUUGACAUAUUGAGUUCAGUAAACUGUAUGAUUGCAAUUAA